GAUGAACGCUAGCGGCAGGCUUAACACAUGCAAGUCGAGGGGUAUAGGCUUUCGGGCCUAGAGACCGGCGCACGGGUGCGUAACGCGUAUGCAACCUACCUUGAACAGGGGGAUAGCCCAGAGAAAUUUGGAUUAAUACCCCAUGGUAUUAUAGAAUGGCAUCAUUUUAUUAUUAAAGUCACAACGGUUCAAGAUGGGCA
rnacentral:rRNA from 1 species